CUCAGAGAGCCCUCUACAGGGACAUCAUGCAGGAGAACUACGAGACGGUGAACUCGCUGGAGGAGUAACCCAGUUGUAAUGGAUCACAGCACCAGGGGCUCACUUCAGAGAAGGAAAACUUGCAGACAGCAGGUGAAGAGAUGCUGAGAGAGAAUGAAGAGGAGAAUCUCCAGUAGGGAACCCCUAAGCAAGUGGGACGUUAUCAGGAAGAUCUAAAUGGAACAGUUCCUGGAGCGUUGACCACGAAUAAUCUUGUGAGAAUCAUUGCAGGUCAGAGGGACAGCAGAGAAACCAAUUGUGGAAGGAAGUAAUCCAUUACUUGUGGGGAAUGGUGCAAAGACCUCAAGGAAACCACAGCCCAGCAGAGAAUCCACACACAAGAGAGAAAAAAUACACACACAACGCACGGCAAAAACUUCAGUUUGAGAUUGCACUUUAUUAGACACCAGAAAACACACACAGGAGAGAGACUCUAUAAAUGCUUUGUGUGUGAAAAAAGAUUUAGUGACAACUUGCACCUUAUUGGACAUCAAAGAAUUCACACAGGCGAGACCCUAUAACUGCAUUGACUGGGAGUUGGUUUGGCGACAGAAGCACACUUUAUUAUGCAUCAGAAUAUACCCACACAGUAGAGAAACCCUACAAAUGAAUUUAUGAUGAGAAACAUUUUUUUUCAGCGCUCACAUCACAGAAUCCAUACAGGAGAGAAAACAUAUAAAUGCCAGGCCUGUGGGAUAAAUUUCAAUCGGAGGUCAAACCUAGCUUGAUAUCAGAGAGCUCAUACAGGAGAGAUGCCCUAUAAAUACCUUACUGUGGGAAAAAUUGUAGUGACAACUCACAACUUAUUACACAUCAAAGUGCCCACAUGGGUGAGAGACCCUAUAAGUGCUUUGACUGUGGGAAAUGUUUCCUUCAGAGCGCACAUCUUAUUGCGCAUCAGCGAACCCAUACGGGAGAAAUGCCCUAUAAAUGCCCCGACUGUGGGAAAAGCUUCAAUCGAAGUUCAAACCUGGAGAGACACCAGAUAGUCCACCUACAAGAAAAACCACAUAAAUGCUUUGACUCUGGGGAAAAAGUUAGUGAUAAGUCACAACUUGCUCC